rnacentral:sRNA from 1 species
ACCUGAGCAGGUUCGAUUACGACUUCUGCCAGCUGGAGAGGGCAGCCGGGGAGGGAGUGAGCGCAGACAAACUCGGUGCUGUGGACGGUGGAGACGGCAAGGCAGACCCCAGUGUCCUGGCUGCGUUCCAGGACUACAUCAAACUGAUGCCGCUGGUUGCAGAAGCAAAUCAAAUGAAUAAAGAGCUGAAGAAGGGACUUAACAUGGAAUUGAAGGUGAAAAAUUUGGCAUCGUCAGAUUCCAGGGGCUAUGACCUACAGAAGGAGGUCUUGGUGAAGGUGACCCACCACGGGUCUCACGAGCUCUCUCGGCCACAUUGAAGACCCUUGUGCUUUCAUUGGGGCCACCUGGAUACUCCAGGCUAAUGUCUGUAUUUUAAGGUGUGGAUAUGGUCAAAAGCCAAGUUCAUCAAUAGGAAAUUCCUAAUGCAGGAACUUUAGCAGUGCUUUCUAGAUGGAGAUAACGGCUUUGUGGCUCAAGAAGAUGACCCUUUCUGGGAUCCUGUCGAGGUCGUCCGCUUGGGCUCAGCUCACAUCUGGCUCCAGUCGCUGGCCUACUGCAUGAAACUGGAGGAGCAAGUGGAGUUUCUGAACUGUGACGGGCUGGAGGAGGCGGUGCUGCAUAUCUGCAUAGCACCCUGCUCCCCCACAGGACAAACGCAUGGUGAGGAGGAUGUGGUUAUCGACCCUUUGGAGCUGGUGGGCAAGAGGAUGAUUUUCAGAUUCACAUUGUCCGGUGCCUUGGCGUCAACUGGAUGAAGGAAGAUGCAAAGCGGGGCAUUCAGAUAGGGCAGCAUCAAACCAGAUACCAGAACUUUAUCUGAAGCUGCUCAAGCUAGAGCAGAAGACAGAACUGCUCAGGAACAUUAACACAGCCCUGAGAGAAGAGAACGUGCUUUUCAAAGCAUCACUCGCGAAAAUUGCUUCUGGUCAAGCCCAGAAGCCUUCCAACACUCUGAA